CCCUUAGAUGUUCUGGGCCGCACGCGUGCUACACUGAGUGGAUCAGCGGGUCAGGUUGCGCGAAAGCGUUUCCUAAUCUUUAACUCCGCUCGUGAUGGGGAUUGACGGUUGCAAUUUUCUGUCAUGAACGAGGAAUACCUUGUAAGCGCGGGUCAUCAUCCCGCGCUGAAUACGUCCCUGCCCUUUGUACACACCGCCCGUCGCUCCUACCGAUUGAGUGGUCCGGUGAGGCUUUGGGAUCUGAGCGGAAAGAGCGUUUCGCUGUUUCUGCUCGGAAAACUCAGUCGAACCUUAUCAUUUAGAGGAAGGAGAAGUCGUAACA
rnacentral:rRNA from 1 species